rnacentral:tmRNA from 1 species
CCGGUAAAGAUUCCUGUUUUCUCUUUAAGGGAUUGUCUACUUUGAUAUCCACCCACUUUGCUGUUUAUCACCCAAAUUUCACAGUCAAUGAUGAAUUACUACUGCCUCCCCUCUUGGCCUACAAGAUGCAUUCAACCAUUGAGGGAAUUGAUGAAGUAUCCAAGGGACUCCUGAAAGCAAUUUACCUGGACUCUUACAGAAUGGACAAUAACAUAGAUGAUUUUCAAAACCCAGCGGGGACAUUCACACUUCUGUGCUUGCCCACCAUUUUUACUAAACACCUCACUGUCCCAAAUGUUCUAAUCCUGAUAAAACGCGCAGGGUUGAUGUAUGAGGCCAUAGACAACAUUAUUUUAUGAUAAAUUUAAUAAAGUUUCAUAAUUUGACAAUAUCAUGUCUCUUUCUUCAUCAUUCAGUUGUAGUAUGUCACACAGUUCCAUGAUAUAAGGGGUAUAAUCAAAGCAGCUUGGGAGGGGUUUGUCUUGCAUCCAAAAAGACAUUCCAUGCUUUGUGUGGAGAUAAAAUGCAGGAGCUAUGGUAAAGAAAAGUCCUUUGGGCCGGAUGGUGGGAUGUUCUAUAUUCAUUGUUUCUUUUAGCCAGAAAGAGGUAUUUCUUCUUUGCUGCCACAUGGUCAGAAGAAUUUUCCAGAGUAUGUCUUCCUUUGAGUGUUUACAAAGACAGAGUGAAUAUCUUAGAAUAUCCUCGCAUGCGCUUUGAAAAGUCUCUGGUUGCCUGUUUUCUUCAAGACAGAGUGGUUUGAUCAACUUUAUUUCAUCCAGAAUAUCAGUGAACAUAGCAACUUUUAGUUUCUGUGAUGAGACUGUAAUAUCCCCUACGUGUCCAUUAUAAACUGAUGAGAGUCUGUGGAAUAUUUCAUCCAGGAACUGUGUAUCAUUCACCAGGUCGGGUCCCACCAUGUGAACUGUACAUUUGCUUAUACUCACCCAGGUGAAGUUAUGUUUAUUCCCACUUGAUAUGAUAGCAUAGAGAAACUCAUUAUAUCUUGACACUAGAGAAUCCUUCAUUUCAUCUGUUAUCACAUUAACAAUUUCCACCAUCUGCUCAUGCCAGUAAACUGCAUAAGGCAUGUUACAGGAAAUAAGGAAAGCCUUUGUAAAGUCAAUUUCAACUACAUUACAUUCCUUUGUAAUUAUAACCUUGUUAUCUUCAGCAAAACUUCCAUUUAAUUCUUUGGUGAGCAAGGGCCACAUACUGGUGAUUGGUUUCUUCUGAGCCUUUAUGUCCAAAACUUUGUCUGCUAGAGGAGACCUGAUAACAUUAGGUAAUUUUGCAAGUAUUUUUAAACAAUCCUUCUGUAAGUGGACACAGCUGGUUUUUACAGGCUUGCCAAAUCUUAAACACAGGAAAGGAAAGCUAGUAAAAAUGGUGUUGAAGAAAGUGGGAGACUCCACAGCUGCUGGGAAAACGUAGGCAAGUAUAGGUUUGAGGCCAAUAAAAUUACCAUAUAGUUUCACAUACAGGGCUCUAAAAAACUCUGAAAGAUACCCGUUCCAUACACUGUCUUUAUCUAUCCAUAAAAUAUGAAAUGGUGUUUCAAAAGUUCUUACUGUAAUGGGGCUGCCGGCAACGUGUAAAAUGGUAUCAACAGGGCUGAAAAUAUCUUCUAUGGUCAGACUGUCCAACCUCCCCUUCUUGGCUGGUAUGUCUCGGGAAUCAUAUACAUAGACGCCCCGACAGGUCUUCAAAUAAACCUGAGGCUGACAGAGGUUGAAAUCCUUAAGUAAGUGUUCUUUCCAUGAUGUAAGCUUCCCACGGUCGUCCUCUUGUCUAAUGGUAGUACCAAAACACAUCAAAUAACCUCCUGUGAGCUGAUGAGUCAGGGCAGUUUCAACUUCUUCUACAGCCAGUAUCUCCUUGCCAGAAGUACCCAAUUUCAUUCUUCCAAGGUUAAUGAGCUUCCUCAGUAAUGGUGACUGAUAUCUCAUUAACAAAUCAAAAAGGCAGAUAUUUUCAUUGUGCAUAAACGGAGACAUUGGACGAGGGUCCAUUUCUCCUGGAAUGUGUGGUACAGUCUCUGAAAGUUGUUCCAAUCUGAAAAACGCACACAAAUCCCAGGUAGCCGUUUUGAGGGCAGUGAUUACCCAUAUACCAGUUUUAUGUGGCAUUGAAAUAUUAUAAAGGCUGACAUUCAAGACCUGAACAUCGUGCCAUUGAAGUCUGCACAUUUUACCAGCGGCAGAAGCACGAUUAUUAAAAAGCACCUACAAUACCGGCUACUGAAUAUAGGACUGCGUGGGAGGUGUGGCUAGUCUAUUUUCAAAUGCCUGCCCUUAAAGUGCCACAGCUAAAAAAGUUGGAGCCGUCUAGGAGUGACUCCUUCCUGUUGAAGUCAUGGACCAACCUCCUAGCUCUUCUCACACUACUGUUUGUGACAAGUUCAACUGUUCCCAUACUGGCCUCUUUCAGGGGGGUUGGAUUCCCAUGUUAUUUUGUCAACCUGGUGGAUUAUAGCACUUUGAACCUAACAGUGAGAAAUUCUGCAAAGCACUUAACACCCACACUGUUUCUAGAAGGGCCAGAAAUGUUUGUGUACAUAGUAUGGUCAUUCCUAACAGAAGCUAUUAAUAUAAUUUAUUUUAUUUUUGGCGCAGUAACAGUGUACCGUCUGAAGAAAAUCUUCAUGCCCUCCCUGAAUGCCAUACAAGUGUGGCUCACUCUUAUUGGGGGACACUCAACACUUUACCUGUCCAUCGCCAGACUAUGGACACUUCAGCUGUUUGUGCAUGUUUUGAGCUUUAAGCAGAUAUUUCUAGCAGCCUUUGUUUACCUGUUUCAUUUCAUGCUGUCAUAUGUCCAUGUACACGUGUUUAUAUCUAGGUAUGUGCCCCAGUGGCAAGCAAAUGAUAUGGAACAGAAAAUACCUGAAGGCAGCUCUCUAGAAAAACUGGUGUUGUUCUACAGACCAAUUUUGGCCAACAUUCAAAUGUCCCUACUGGCUCUGGAAAUGCUGGUGUUCUCACUGAGUGUCAUGAUGGCAGUUUGUAAUUCUUUUUACAUCCUGGUAUCAGAUGCAGUGUUUGGUGCUGUCAACCUAUUCCUCAUCAUAUCUCUGGUGUGGCAUAUCGGGGCAGAAGUGUUCCUGGCCAAGUACCUAAGACAUCAUGUUGGAUUUUACAUUGGGCUUUUUGUGGCAUAUGUUAUUAUGCUUCUCCCUGUUAUCAGAUAUGAUGCCAUCUUUGUCACCUCGCGGCUUCACAAACCAAUUACUAUUAAUAUGACAAUAAUUCCCAUAAUAUGUCUAAUAAUAAUUGUUGUGAGAAUCAUCAGACUCAGAUCACAGACCAGCACCAAGGUGACUUAUAAGAAAUUGGGUAUUAGCGGCGCCAUGGAAGCACAACCUUUCCAGUCUAUCCCACAACCCCCCAGAGCAAAAUAUACAGACUUGGAGACAGAAUCAGAAGAUGAACUAUAAACAUUUUAUUAAAGUAAUUAAAGCAAAU